rnacentral:rRNA from 1 species
GAUGGGGAUGCGUUCCAUUAGAUAGUAGGCGGGGUAACGGCCCACCUAGUCUUCGAUGGAUAGGGGUUCUGAGAGGAAGGUCCCCCACAUUGGAACUGAGACACGGUCCAAACUCCUACGGGAGGCAGCAGUGAGGAAUAUUGGUCAAUGGGCGAGAGCCUGAACCAGCCAAGUAGCGUGAAGGAUGACUGCCCUAUGGGUUGUAAACUUCUUUUAUAAAGGAAUAAAGUCGGGUAUGGAUACCCGUUUGCAUGUACUUUAUGAAUAAGGAUCGGCUAACUCCGUGCCAGCAGCCGCGGUAAUACGGAGGAUCCGAGCGUUAUCCGGAUUUAUUGGGUUUAAAGGGAGCGUAGAUGGAUGUUUAAGUCAGUUGUGAAAGUUUGCGGCUCAACCGUAAAAUUGCAGUUGAUACUGGAUAUCUUGAGUGCAGUUGAGGCAGGCGGAAUUCGUGGUGUAGCGGUGAAAUGCUUAGAUAUCACGAAGAACUCCGAUUGCGAAGGCAGCCUGCUAAGCUGCAACUGACAUUGAGGCUCGAAAGUGUGGGUAUCAAACAGGAUUAGAUACCCUGGUAGUCCACACGGUAAACGAUGAAUACUCGCUGUUUGCGAUAUACGGCAAGCGGCCA